rnacentral:rRNA from 1 species
UGGGGAAUAUUGCACAAUGGGCGAAAGCCUGAUGCAGCGACGCCGCGUGAGGGAUGACGGCCUUCGGGUUGUAAACCUCUUUCAGCAGGGACGAAGCGCAAGUGACGGUACCUGCAGAAGAAGCACCGGCUAACUACGUGCCAGCAGCCGCGGUAAUACGUAGGGUGCAAGCGUUGUCCGGAAUUACUGGGCGUAAAGAGUUCGUAGGCGGUUUGUCGCGUCGUUUGUGAAAACCAGCAGCUCAACUGCUGGCUUGCAGGCGAUACGGGCAGACUUGAGUACUGCAGGGGAGACUGGAAUUCCUGGUGUAACGGUGAAAUGCGCAGAUAUCAGGAGGAACACCGGUGGCGAAGGCGGGUCUCUGGGCAGUAACUGACGCUGAGGAACGAAAGCGUGGGUAGCGAACAGG